rnacentral:misc_RNA from 1 species
GAAAUGCGAUAAGUAAUGUGAAUUGCAGAAUUCAGUGAAUCAUCGAAUCUUUGAACGCACAUUGCACCUACCAGUAUUCUGGUAGGUAUGCCUGUUCGAGCGUCAUUUCAACCCCUCAAGCGCUGCUUGGUGUUAGGGCCCUACGCGUCCGCGUACGCCCUCAAGACUAUUGGCGGGCUCUCUCGUGGCACCGAGCGUAGUAACUACUCGCCGCUCUGGUAGAUCGGAGGGUCCCGGCCGUUAAAACCCCACCAUACCAAAGGUUGACCUCGGAUCAGGUAGGAAUACCCGCUGAACUUAA